CUCUACUUUUAUUUCUUCCCGUAAAAGCAAAAACCUAAUCAAACCCAUCACCGUCAUCUUCAUCGUCCUCGCCUCCACUCCAGCACCACCUCCACCAAAUCUACCACCAGCAACAACAACACCACCUCCUAAACAAUCAAUUUAGAUGGAUUUUCAACUUCAAAACUUCAAUCCAGUGAUCAAUCAAUGAGAUACUGAAUUCUAAAUCCUAAUCUCGAGCAUCAAAAUUAUUAGAUUCAUUUCGAUUUCAAUUGGAUUUGGCUUGAAGAACCUAAAAUCGAUGAUAACUAUGUUAGUUCUUACUUGUCUGCAUCGAUUAGGAAGAGACGAUGACAAUCGUCAUCAAUAAUUGAGUCUGAAAAUCCAAUCGUUAAAAACAAAUCAAAAUUGAUUAUCUUCUUUCUCUUAUUUAAGUUUCUGCUGGUGGUGUUGGUACUGUAACUAGUGGUGAUGGAGAAGUCAAAACGAUGCAAUUGAUGAUGGACAUAGUGGUGUUCUUAUUUUGAUGGGCAGUUGAAUGAUUUGUUGAGCUUGGGGUAACACUGUGUAUUUAAACGAACGACUCUUACACGGAGUGAGUGAGUAUGAUCUGUAAUUUCUUGAUUAAAGUUUAAGCUUUCAUUUUUAUUUUUUUGUCUCAAUAUUGAGAAUGAGGAAAUGGUUAUGGUUUUGAUUUGGCAGAGCAAGAAAGGGGAUUGUGUAUUGGAUAAUUGUUGUGGAAGUGGAGAUUUAACAUUUUUUUUCUCUGAUAAGAUUGGUUCUCAAGGGAAUGUUUGGAGAAUCAUACUGUUACUGGUCUUAAUGUCUCGCAAUUGUAUGUAGUUGCAUAUAGACAGGGAUCAUUACUUGGAAAACCCUGCUACCAGAACAUUGUGUGAGCGUUGGUAACAGUUUGUAGGAAGCUAAAAUGACACUGCUGGUGGGUGAUUAGAUAGUGAGUGUCGAUGCCAGAAAUGUGCUAGGUGGUUUUCUUUUUUCCAAAAGUUACAUUGGUUGCAAUUUAUAAAGGCUGGGGUUAUUUUGCUG